AAAAAUUGCAAAGGGGGAAUUUCCCAAAACCCUUGAAAUUGAAAUUGUAGGUAGUCUUAGUUGUUGUGUUCUGUGCCCAAUUUCAAAAUCAAGGCCUGAUUGGUUCAUGAAGCCCCCCCAAGUUGAAUCUUCAGUGCUUUCACUUGCGCACUCUUCGCCUUCAUCUUUAUAUUUCUGCUUGAUUUUCUCUUUCUCCACAAGAAAUUUGAAAAUUAGAUCUCUCUCUCUCUCUCUUCCUCCUGUGUCUUCAUUCUUUGUUUGAUUUUCUCAGUUUCCGAACUACUUCUGUGGACUUUACCCAAAUCGGUUAAGGGUUAGGACGUGUACGUGAUGAGCGAGCUCUUGGCCUAAAUGGAUUCAAGAUCUCUGCCCAUAGGUGCAUCUCUAGAAUCUCCUGGUCCAGUUUUGGAAACAAUUCUUGUUGGGGACAUUGAUAAAGGGAUCCGGAGUGUGGGGAGAAGUCACAACAUUCAUGAGCCAAAUGGGGUGCUAGAUCAGGUCUCAAGUCCAGUGAGGAGGGAAGUAGUUAAGAGGUUGUCUUUUGCAAUGAAGACUCUUGACAAUGAUGAGAUUGAUGUGGAAGGUGGCAAAUUGGAAAAAGAUAGAGAGAAGACAACACGAAGUAACAAGGCAGUUAAAAUGCACAACCAAGCUUUGUUAUCUGGCCUUGCAUAUUGCAUUUCAUCCUGUGGCAUGAUACUUAUAAACAAAUAUGUCCUUUCCAGCUAUAAUUUCAAUGCAGGGAUAUCUUUGAUGCUCUACCAGAACUUUGUCUCAGUGGUUGUUGUGUCCAUGUUGUGUCUUUUUGGGGUAAUAACAACAGAACCACUUACAUGGAGAUUGAUAAAGGUCUGGUUUCCAGUGAACGUGAUAUUUGUCGGGAUGCUAAUCACUAGCAUGUUCAGUCUAAAGUACAUCAAUGUGGCCAUGGUUACAGUCUUAAAGAAUGUCACAAAUGUGAUAACUGCUGUUGGUGAGAUGUAUCUGUUCAAUAAGCACCAUGACAAUAGAGUUUGGGCUGCUUUAUUCUUAAUGAUUAUAUCUGCAAUAUCAGGAGGAAUUACAGAUCUAUCUUUCAAUGCUGUUGGCUACACAUGGCAGAUUAUUAAUUGUUUCUUGACAGCAUCCUAUUCUUUAACCCUGCGCAGGGUCAUGGAUACUGCAAAGCAAGUGACAAAAUCUGGAAAUCUGAAUGAGUUUUCAAUGGUCUUGCUCAACAACACGCUCUCAUUGCCAUUGGGAGUGUUACUUAUUUUUAUGUUCAAUGAGGUGGAUUAUCUAUCCAAAACGCCACUUUUAAGAAUGCCUGCCUUCUGGUCUGUGAUGACGUUAAGUGGAUUUUUGGGUCUAGCAAUCAGCUUCACUUCGAUGUGGUUUCUACAUCAGACAGGGGCCACUACAUACAGGCAAGCCUUGUGGGAUCCUUGAAUAAAAUUCCCCUCUCCGUUGCCGGUAUCCUUCUGUUCCACGUUCCUACAAGUCUGGAGAACUCGGCAAGCAUAUUCUUUGGUCUGGUUGCAGGAGUGUUCUUUGCUAGGUCGAAAAUACGGGAAAGAUCUCAAACUUGAGCAAGUUAUGAACUGCUUCUUUAUAUCGGCAUUCCAGCUGUGCCCUGACUACAUCUUACACACAUUGAGAACACUUUUUUUCUUUUCAAAGAAACUAGUGCAGAGAAGUCUUCCAUUUGGAAGUGGCUCUUGUGGUUCCCUUGUGAUUUAGGAAUGGUACUUCAUUGAUGCAGCAUGUUUUCGACGAUGAAAAUUUUGCAGAUUUCUGCGCGCUCUUUCUGUUGUACUUGAAGCGGGAGAUCACCCGCUUCUCCUUGUAAUUUGUUAGGGACAGAAACUGAAUUUAUAAGUUAUCGAUAUAUCAAGGUUUAGUCAAAGUAAAUCAUGUAAUCUGUAAUUUGUAAAAACCUGCUCUCAUUGUUGAGUGAGGUUAUGUAUUCCUUUUCACCUCUUCUUCUUGAUAAAAUCUGUACCCAGGUGUUGGAA